GCCCGGAUGGCGGAACUGGUAGACGCAUCGGACUUAAAAUCCGCUGGCCGAAAGGCCGUGCCGGUUCGAUUCCGGCUCCGGGCACCA
rnacentral:tRNA from 1 species